UACGGAAGGCAGCAGUGGGGAAUAUUGCACAAUGGGCGAAAGCCUGAUGCAGCUAUGCCGCGUGUAUGAAGAAGGCCUUAGGGUUGUAAAGUACUUUCAUCGGGGAGGAAAAAACAAAACUAAUAAUUUUAUUUCUUGACGUUACCCGAAAAAGAAGCACCGGCUAACUCCGUGCCAGCAGCCGCGGUAAUACGGAGGGUGCUAGCGUUAAUCAGAAUUACUGGGCGUAAAGAGCACGUAGGUGGUUUUUUUAAAGUCAGAUGUGAAAUCCCUGGGCUUAACCUGGAACUGCAUUUUGAAACUGAAAUACUAGAGUAUCGUAGAGGGAGGUAGAAUUCUAGGUGUAGCGGUGAAAUGCGUAGAUAUCUGGAGGAAUACCUGUGGCGAAAGCGGCCUCCUAAACGAAUACUGACACUGAGGUGCGAAAAGCGUGGGGAGCAAAACAGGGAUUAGAUACC
rnacentral:rRNA from 1 species